UACGUAGGGUGCGAGCGUUGCUCGGAAUCACUGGGCGUAAAGCGCACGUAGGUGGGUCGUUAAGUCAGGGGUGAAAUCCCGGAGCUCAACUCCGGAACUGCCUUUGAUACUGGCGAUCUUCGAGUUCGGGAGAGGUGAGUGGAACUGCGAGUGUAGAGGUGAAAUUCGUAGAUAUUCGCAAGAACACCAGUGGCGAAGGCGGCUCACUGGCCCGAUACUGACACUGAGGUGCGAAAGCGUGGGGAGCAAACAGG
rnacentral:rRNA from 1 species